GAUAUCUGCUACCCGAUAAUCAAGUCAGCAUUCAAAGGAGCAGACAUUCUUCCCUGGUCUAUAUAGCUUCAUUGAAAGGAAUCAGACACAGAAAGUUUGGGGAAAUGAAAUUGAGAGUCACUGUAAAUAAUUCACACACAUGCUAGACAUAAAGAAAUGGCCAGACACAGGCUCAGCUAUAGAAUCUGUAUCAACUGGAAGCAACAGCAUUUUCAUCAGAAAACUAAAAAGGAUGUGAAAAACAUGAAACAUGCAUUUGGAAAUGUUCAGCUGCCAAACAAAUAGAUAUGCCAGGAAAUGCAAAUUGUUUGCUAAUAUAAAUGUCAAUGAUGUCUGUACAAAAGCAAAGAUAUAAAAGCCUUUUUCAUUUAUACAUGUAACAGUCAUAUACAAUACAGAUUUAAGACCAUCAGACAUUCUUUAAAUCUUUGGAAGCCACAGUACCUACGGUAGUCCAAGACAUUCCAUAUUUUCAACUCGUUAUGGAGACAUAUUUGACCAAUCUGGUUUCCAAUAGAAGUUUAAAAAUAAGUUCUACAUGUACAUGACAUGAUGAUCACCAGCAAUGAAGGUGAUAUAGGAUAUAAUAUUCAAAGUAGAGAAGUCUAAAGUGAAUUUAAACCUCCCACCAUAAUAGCAUUCUGCACAUUUUGGAUCACAUAUGGAUCAAGCUGUUGUACUUGUGAACUAAAAGAUUGUUGCUUGGUUGUUGUCAGGUACAUUGUACAUGUUGACAGUGCUAUACGUUCAUUAAAUAAAAUGCAGUUCAGAACAGUUAUAUUUUAGUAAUAGAUAGAUUUCUUCUGUCUUUAUUUGAACGGAUAAACCAGAUAAUUAAAAAAAAAAAAUUCUGACAACUAUGUCUGUUCUGGAACUGAAGACUACCUUCACUU